rnacentral:rRNA from 1 species
AAGCCCCAGUAAACGGCGGCCGUAACUAUAACGGUCCUAAGGUAGCGAAAUUCCUUGUCGGGUAAGUUCCGACCCGCACGAAAGGCGUAACGAUUUGGGCACUGUCUCAACAACAGACUCGGUGAAAUUGUAAUUCCGGUGAAGAUGCCGGAUACCUGCGACAGGACGGAAAGACCCCAUGGAGCUUUACUGUAGCUUGACAUUGGGUCUUGGUACUACAUGUACAGGAUAGGUGGGAGGCUUUGAAACCAGGACGCCAGUUUUGGCGGAGCCAUCCUUGGGAUACCACCCUUGUAGUACUGGGACUCUAACCAUAGGCCAUGAAUCUGGUCUUGGGACACUGUCAGGUGGGCAGUUUGACUGGGGCGGUCGCCUCCCAAAAGGUAACGGAGGCGCUCAAAGGUUCUCUCAGUACGGUCGGAAAUCGUACGUAGAGUGUAAAGGCAAAAGAGAGCUUGAUUGCAAGACAUACAGGUCGAGCAAGGAUGAAAAUCGGACUUAGUGAUCCGGUGGUUCUGCGUGGAAGGGCCAUCGCUCAACGGAUAAAAGCUACCCUGGG